rnacentral:pre_miRNA from 1 species
UAAGUACUCCCUCCGUCCGAAAAUAUUUGUCAUCAAAAUGGACAAAAAGGAAUGUAUCUAAAACUAAAAUACAUCUAGAUACAUCCUCUUUUAUUCAUUUUGAUGACAAGUAUUUCCGGACGGAGGGAGUAGUCU